GCUUAACGCGAAGAACCUUACCUGGCCUUGACAUCCAUGGAAUCCCGAAGAGAUUUGGGAGUGCCGCAAGGAACCAUGAGACAGGUGCUGCAUGGCUGUCGUCAGCUCGUGUCGUGAGAUGUUGGGUUAAGUCCCGCAACGAGCGCAACCCUUGUCCUUAGUUGCCAUCAUUAAGUUGGGAACUCUAAGGAGACCGCCGGUGACAAACCGGAGGAAGGUGGGGAUGACGUCAAGUCAUCAUGGCCUUUAUGGCCAGGGCUACACACGUGCUACAAUGGCAAGUACAGAGGGAAGCCAACCGGCGACGGGGAGCUAAUCCCAGAAAACUUGUCUUAGUCCGGAUUGCAGUCUGCAACUCGACUGCAUGAAGUUGGAAUCGCUAGUAAUCGCAGAUCAGCAUUGCUGCGGUGAAUACGUUCCCGGG
rnacentral:rRNA from 1 species